AUGAAUCCGAAUUUUUGUAUCCCUUUAUCCAGCUUCACAUCAUGUGAUAUAUUGGAGGAAAACAAAAUUAUCAUGGUAACAUUUACUUACUGUAAAUCUGUAUUGAUUCGUGAUAUUGAAGAUAGUGUAGCUUUCUCAGUGUUUCCAAUUACUGUCCUCUUAAAUACUCACAUCAAAAAGCUUUUCGUAAUUCCAGAUCCCAUCGAAGGUCUCUUCCGCUGCCUGGCCUCAAGAGCAGAUUGUUCCACAGGACUGGCAACUGAGGGACAUUAUUUUGGUGACAAAUCAUUAGAUAUGAUGAUCUGA
rnacentral:rRNA from 1 species